rnacentral:rRNA from 1 species
CCUACGGGCGGCAGCAGUGAGGAAUCUUGGUCAAUGGGCGCGAGCCUGAACCAGCCAAGCCGCGUGAAGGAUGAAUGUCCUCCGGGUUGUAAACUUCUUUUUUAAAGGAAUACAGUGAGGCACGUGUCUCUUCUUGUAUGUACUUUAUGCAUAAGGAUCGGCUAACUCCGUGCCAGCAGCCCCGGUAAUACGGAGGAUACGAGCGUUAUCCGGAUUUAUUGGGUUUAAAGGGAGCGUAGGUGGGUUGUUAAGUCAGUUGUGAAAGUCUGCGGCUCAACCGUACAAUUGCAAUUGAUACUGGCAGUCUUGAGUACAGUAGAGGAAGGUGGAAUUCGUGGUGUAGCGGUGAAAUGCGUAGAGAUCACGAAGAACUCCGAUUGCGAAGGCAGCUUACUAAUCUGCCACUGACGUUGAUGCGCGAAAGUGUGGGUAUCAAACAGGAUUAGAUACCCCUGUAGUC